UUCCUGGAUAUCACACUUACAGCUACAAGCCUUUGAAAGAAGAUACCAUGUCGGUGAUCACUCAGCAGCCGGGAUAUUCCCAACCGGGACUUAUGUCUCCUACUGGAGAGUGGAACAGCAACCUGUGUGACUGUUGUUCUGACUGUGGCAUCUGUCUUUUUGGACUAUGCCUCCCAUCAUGCUUCAGUUGCUAUUUAGCCAACAAGUAUGGGGAAAGUUGCCUUUUGCCCUGUGUUCCAGGAGGAAUGACUGCGAUGCGCACACACAUGCGGCUGACCUAUGGCAUUAAAGGUACUGUAUGCAAUGAUGCCCUCAUGAUGCUUUGCUGUGGAUGGUGUGAGACAUGCAGAAUGGCUCGGGAAAUGAAACGUCUGCAGCAUUAAACCUGAAGGUUGAUGAAACAUCCGAUGACAUCGCUGCCUGAUAUUCAAUGUAUUUCUUCACCAAAAUGUCAAAUUUUACCAAUAAAAACUAAAUUGUUAUUUAAACUAA